rnacentral:rRNA from 1 species
AACGAACGCUGGCGGCGCGCUUAACACAUGCAAGUCGAACGAGAAGCUGUAGCAAUACAGUUGUACAGUGGCGAACGGGUGAGGAAUACAUGGGUAACCUACCCUCGAGUGGGGAAUAACCAGCCGAAAGGCUGGCUAAUACCGCGUACGCUUCCCAAUCUGCGGGUUGGGAAGGAAAGCUCUACCGUGGGUAGAGCGCUCAAGGACGGGCUCAUGUCCUAUCAGCUUGUUGGAGGGUAACGGCCUACCAAGGCAACGACGGGUAGCUGGUCUGAGAGGACGAUCAGCCACACUGGCACUGCGACACGGGCCAGACUCCUACGGGAGGCAGCAGUGAGGAAUAUUGCGCAAUGGGCGACAGCCUGACGCAGCGACGCCGCGUGGGGGA